rnacentral:rRNA from 1 species
GCCCUUUUCCGGUUGAUCCCGCCGGAGGUUACUGCUAUCGAGGUUCGACUAGGCCAUGCGAGUCGAAUGUAGCAAUACAUGGCGAACUGCUCAGUAACACGUGGACAACCUGCCCUUAGGUUGGGUAUAAACCCGGGAAACUGGGUAUAAUACCCGAUAGGUCUCGAUUGCUGGAAUGCAUCGAGAUUUAAAGCUCCGGCGCCUAGGGAUGGGUCUGCGGCCUAUCAGGUAGUAGUGGGUGUAGCGUACCUACUAGCCUACGACGGGUACGGGUUGUGAGAGCAAGAGCCCGGAGAUGGAUUCUGAGACACGAAUCCAGGCCCUACGGGGUGCAGCAGGCGCGAAAACUUUACAAUGCUGGCAACAGCGAUAAGGGAACCUCGAGUGCCAGGUUACAAAUCUGGCUGUCGAGAUGCCUAAAAAGCAUUUCAUAGCAAGGGCCGGGCAAGACCGGUGCCAGCCGCCGCGGUAACACCGGCGGCUCGAGUGGUAACCGUUAUUAUUGGGUCUAAAGGGUCUGUAGCCGGCCGGAUAAGUCUCUUGAGAAAUCUGGCAGCUUAACUGUCAGGCUUUCAGGAGAUACUGUCUGGCUCGAGGCCGGGAGAGGUGAGAG